rnacentral:ncRNA from 12 species
UCGUAGCCGAGUGGUUAAGGCGAUUGCUUCGAAACCAAUUGGGAUUGUCCUGAUAGGUUUGAGUCCUAUCGGU